CAGGAUUGGCUUUGGGCCUUUCUUGAGCAAGUAAGAUGGAAUGCAAAAGAGGCCUCCUCCUCAAGAGGCCCAAGACAUCACCUCAUCGGAUUCAUUUUCAUGCCAACUAACUAUGAUGGCUACCCACUCCGGAAUUGUUGUAGUAUUUCGUCGUCUUCAGCCCCACCAGCUGUGCCUCCAAACGGUGCUUCAUUUUCCAUGGGAA
rnacentral:lncRNA from 1 species